AUUGAACGCUGGCGGCAGGCCUAACACAUGCAAGUCGAGCGGAGCGGCGGACGGGUGAGUAAUGCCUAGGAAUCUGCCUGGUAGUGGGGGAUAACGUCCGGAAACGGGCGCUAAUACCGCAUACUAUCAGAUGAGCCUAGGUCGGAUUAGCUAGUUGGUGGGGAAAAGGCCUACCAAGGCGACGAGCCGUAACUGGUCUGAGAGGAUGAUCAGUCACACUGGAACUGAGACACGGUCCAGACUCCUACGGGAGGCAGCAGUGGUGAAUAUUGCAGAAUGGGCGCAAGCCUGAUGCAGCCAUGCCGCGUGUAUGAAGGAGGCCUUCGGGUUGUAAAGUACUUUCAGCGGGGAGGCGUUACCAACAGAAUAAGCACCGGCUAACUUCGUGCCAGCAGCAGCGGUAUAC
rnacentral:rRNA from 1 species